GCCGGUUUAGCUUAGUGGUAGAGCGUUGCACUUGUAUCAUCCGGUUACCAAAUGCAAAGGUCGGUUGUUCAAUCCAGCCAACCGGCA